rnacentral:rRNA from 1 species
GAAGAUGCAAUCUACCCGCUGCUAGACGGAGAGACCCCGUGAACCUUUACUGUAGCUUUGCAUUGGACUUUGAAGUCACUUGUGUAGGAUAGGUGGGAGGCUUGGAAGCAGAGACGCCAGUCUCUGUGGAGUCGUCCUUGAAAUACCACCCUGGUGUCUUUGAGGUUCUAACCCAGACCCGUCAUCCGGGUCGGGGACCGUGCAUGGUAGGCAGUUUGACUGGGGCGGUCUCCUCCCAAAGCGUAACGGAGGAGUUCGAAGGUUACCUAGGUCCGGUCGGAAAUCGGACUGAUAGUGCAAUGGCAAAAGGUAGCUUAACUGCGAGACCGACAAGUCGGGCAGGUGCGAAAGCAGGACAUAGUGAUCCGGUGGUUCUGUAUGGAAGGGCCAUCGCUCAACGGAUAAAAGGUACUCCGGGGAUAACAGGCUGAUUCCGCCCAAGAGUUCAUAUCGACGGCGGAGUUUGGCACCUCGAUGUCGGCUCAUCACAUCCUGGGGCUGUAGUCGGUCCCAAGGGUAUGGCUGUUCGCCAUUUAAAGUGGUACGUGAGCUGGGUUUAAAACGUCGUGAGACAGUUUGGUCCCUAUCUGCAGUGGG